rnacentral:rRNA from 1 species
UAUGUGAUCGUCUCUCGCAUAUCAAUAAGCGGAGGAAAAGAAACUAACAAGGAUUCCCCUAGUAACGGCGAGUGAAGCGGGAAGAGCUCAAAUUUGAAAUCUUAAAGGGUUUCCCUUUACGAAUUGUAGUUUAAAGAAGUGUUUUCUGUUGAGGUUUUGGUAAAAGUUCUUUGGAAUAGGACAUCAUAGAGGGUGAGAAUCCCGUAUUUGACCUUUACUUUCAACUUUGUGAUACACUUUCGAAGAGUCGGAUUGUUUGGGAAUGCAGUCCAAAAUGGGUGGUAAAUUUCAUCUAAAGCUAAAUAUUGGCGAGAGACCGAUAGCGAACAAGUACCGUGAGGGAAAGAUGAAAAGAACUUUGAAAAGAGAGUUAAACAGUACGUGAAAUUGUCAAAAGGGAAGCGUUUGACACCAGUGUUGUUUUUCUGAAAAUCAAUUAAAGAACUGUUUAUGCUAAGUUGUUUAGACUUUAUCAGCUAUCUGCUUAGUUUUGAGCUUUUCUUUAAUGCACUUUUCAGUUAACAAGUCAACAUCAAUUUCUUUUGCUGUAAAAAAGCUUGAGGAAGGUGGCUUGAGAUUCGUCUUAAGUGUUUAUAGCCUCUUGCCUAUGCAGUCGGAGAGAUUGAGGUCUGCAGCGUAGAUCCUUCGGGGCUAAAUGCAUUUGUGCUAAGUUAUAGCAUUUUAUAGACAACUUGUUGACUAUGAUUUGUCUUGUAGCUUACUCGCUUAUGUUAUUUUACCUACGCUUAGGAUGUUGAUCUACAGAGCGAGAGU